UUAGUAUUUGAUCAUAGUAUUUAUUAUAUAUAUUUAUUCAUUAUUUAUACGAAUUUUUUUUUAGAUUUUUAUUUGAGUAGUGUAUAAUUUUAAUUAUUAAAUAAUUUUAGAAUUAGUAAUAUAAUUAAAUAUUUGCUAAUUUUGUGCCAGCAGCAGCGGUUACACAUAAAAUGUUAUAUAUAUUUUUUAGUUUUAAUUAAUAGGAUAUUAAUUAAAUUAUAAUUUAGAUUUUAAGGUGAAAUUUAAAUUUAAAAUUAAUUUAUUUUUUUUUUUAUGAUUUAGUAAAUUUUUAGUUAAACUAGGAUUAGAUACCCUAUUAUUUUAAAUGUAAAUUUCAAAACUAAGUGAUUAAUAGUUAAGUUCUUUAAAGCUAAAUGAUUUGGCGGUAUUUUAAUCUUUUCAGAGGAACCUGUUCAGUUAUUGAUAAUCCACAAUUAAAUUAACUUAAAUUAGGAAUUUUUAUAUCGUCGUUGUUAAAUAUUUUUAAAGAAUUUAAUAUUUAAAAUUUUUUAUAAGAUAGAAAAUCAGAUCAAGGUGAAGUUUAUAUUUGAGAUGAAAUGGGUUACAUUAAAUUAAAUUUAUGAAUUAUAAAUUUGAAAAAUUAUAUGAAAUUGGAUUUGAAAGUAAUUAGUUAUAUUUAUUUCUAAUGAUUAAGCGCUAAAAUAUGUACAUAUUGCCCGUCGCUUUCAUUUAAUUUGGAAUAAGUCGUAACAUAGUAGUUUUACUGGAAAGUGAGUCUAGAAUGUC
rnacentral:ncRNA from 1 species